CGGACGGGUGAGGAAUACAUCGGAAUCUGCCUGGUAGUGGGGGACAACGUUUCGAAAGGAACGCUAAUACCGCAUACGUCCUACGGGAGAAAGCAGGGGACCUUCGGGCCUUGCGCUAUCAGAUGAGCCUAGGUCGGAUUAGCUAGUUGGUGAGGUAAUGGCUCACCAAGGCGACGAUCCGUAACUGGUCUGAGAGGAUGAUCAGUCACACUGGAACUGAGACACGGUCCAGACUCCUACGGGAGGCAGCAGGC
rnacentral:rRNA from 1 species